AUUGAACGCUGGCGGCAGGCCUAACACAUGCAAGUCGAGCGGAUGAAGGGAGCUUGCUCCUGGAUUCAGCGGCGGACGGGUGAGUAAUGCCUAGGAAUCUGCCUGGUAGUGGGGGACAACGUCCGGAAACGGGCGCUAAUACCGCAUACGUCCUGAGGGAGAAAGUGGGGGAUCUUCGGACCUCACGCUAUCAGAUGAGCCUAGGUCGGAUUAGCUAGUUGGUGGGGUAAAGGCCUACCAAGGCGACGAUCCGUAACUGGUCUGAGAGGGUGAUCAGUCACACUGGAACUGAGACACGGUCCAGACUCCUACGGGAGGCAGCAGUGGGGAAUAUUGGACAAUGGGCGAAAGCCUGAUCCAGCCAUGCCGCGUGUGUGAAGAAGGUCUUCGGAUUGUAAAGCACUUUAAGUUGGGAGGAAGGGCAGUAAGUUAAUACCUUGCUGUUUUGACGUUACCAACAGAAUAAGCACCGGCUAACUUCGUG
rnacentral:rRNA from 1 species